AGAGGACGGGGAUUUUUAGGUGACUUCCUCUAAAUAUGGCCGCCUCUUAUUACCCAUUGUGCCUUAUGGUCAGACACUUCUGCUUUUGGUGUAAACAUACAAUAUAGCUUACAAUUUCCAUUCUGCGAAGACAAGUCUUGACCGGGAGAGGUCUUAUGACAGUACAGAUGGAGAAGAAUAAAGAUGAACACAGAAGACGUCAGCUGUGAUUCACUUGGAGAAGACGUCAGCUGUGAUUCACUUGGAGAAGACGUCAGCUGUGAUUCUCUGGAUGUAACUGUUCUUGUUGGCCUCUCGUUCUUUCUCUCCCAAGACUACGCUGCCCCCAACUCUGAGGGAUUUUUCUUGCUUUAGAAGAACGUCCCUCUUCUCUUGUAAAGGCAAAGAGCAGCCAAGACUGACCAAGGAGAGAAAAAGAAUCCAAGACAGCGACAUCUUUAUCUUUAGUUAGAGUGAUGGAGAUGAAACAAUGAUGUUGCCCCCGGCUCUGCGUGAAUCCUCUUGCUCCAGGAGGACUUCCCUCUCCUCCCAUAAAGGCAAAGAGCGUCCAAGACCGACCAAGGAGAAAAGAAGGAUCCAAGACAGCGACAUCUUUAUCUUACAGCUGGAAUGAAGGAGAUGAAAGUAUAAGAUCAACUGAUGACAUGAACAUCUGCAGCGAUAAAAGCUGCGAUCACAGAGUUACGUUAUAUUAAGUCAUAGGACUGAGCGGCUUAGGCCGAAAGAGAACAACACAAACUCUGUGUGACCCCGGCGAGCAAUCACGGUGGCCGCCGUCUGCAUCAGUUAUGGCUGGCCUCGUGGAGAAACAUCAUGUCCGAUACUCUAUUCACAUCCAGAGCUGCGUUCACAAGUCAUACGUGAUUAAACUACUAGCACAAGUGCAUCCAUGCAUCUCCAUUGAAAGCUGUCGCCUGCUGAGACAUUAGGUGAUUAUACAGAAACGAUGAAAACAGGAAGUAAAACCACGACCUUCACCUCAGAACCGAAAAUACGUAGGAGAAUGAGGAACCGGCCAAAAAGAUGCAUAGAGAAGAAAAGAAGAGCAGCUUAACCCUUCACAAUAUAUCAUCAAUUACAUGUAAACCAGCCUGAAAAUUACAUGGCCACAAGGUAACUCCGCCAUGUUGUUGUGAGACAGAGGCAGGAAUGGCGGUCAGGGGUCGCUAUAUUCCUGCAAGAUUCCUCCCUUAUGUCUAUAAAACUCAAGAAAGUUCACAUCUCAUCCAAGGAACGUUUGUUGAGAUGUGAGAAAUCCAGGAAUAGUGUGACAUCCGUAUUGGAUAAGUCCGUUUACAGGCCAGUCCAGGUUUUUCAGUUUGGUUCAAAUCAGCACAGGCGCUGAAGACAGCUCAUCACUGGGCUUACAAGAGAAGGCAUUCAUUCUGCUCUGGAAGGCUGUGAGGGAUGGGGAGCUCUGCUGGAAGUUUGAAUCCUGAGGUUUGACGCCUCUAGGGGACACUUGGGAGGAAAACAUUGGAUGCCUAUUGUUUCUGGGCGAGUGACUGGUAGAAAGUUAUCCGUAUAGUUAGGGAAUACUGUGUUAGUGAGCACUGUGACAAACAUUUUGUAUUUUUAUGCCUUAAAGAGGUCCUCCGGUGGAAAACAAAUAUUUUUUUUAAUCAACUGGUGCCAAAAAGUUAAACGGAUUUCUAAAUUACUUCUA